rnacentral:lncRNA from 1 species
AAUGACUAUAUGAUCUCUUAAAGUAAUGCAUAACCUACAAUUUGGUGAAUAGACACACUUAAAUACAUUCAAUUCUUAAGCCUCAUGAAAGUCAUGUAUAUUCUUAUAAAAUGGAGGUCUAACAUGUUUAUAAAGAACAAGGCACAAAAAGUAAAAGGCUACAUCCUGUGAUCCACAGAGGACCAUUACUAGUAGUGUAUGUCAUUUUGAUUCACAACUCCGUAGGUUAUCAAAAGCACGCAUCUAAGAGGCAGCAACAGCAGACAGCAGCCAGACUGCAAAAACAAUAUCAACAAAAAAUCGAUUAGUUUUAUCUGUCUUCCGAAAAUAGAAAGAUUUAUGAGGGAAAUUAACGUGUUAGCCUACUAGGUGCACUGAUUGGUAAAAUUAAUGAAGACACAUACAACAACGCAAAACAU